rnacentral:rRNA from 1 species
UGGGGAAUUUUGGACAAUGGGGGCAACCCUGAUCCAGCAAUGCCGCGUGAGUGAAGAAGGCCUUCGGGUUGUAAAGCUCUUUUGUCAGGGAAGAAACGGUGAGAGCUAAUAUCUCUUACUAAUGACGGUACCUGAAGAAUAAGCACCGGCUAACUACGUGCCAGCAGCCGCGGUAAUACGUAGGGUGCAAGCGUUAAUCGGAAUUACUGGGCGUAAAGCGUGCGCAGGCGGUUAUAUAAGUCGGAUGUGAAAUCCCCGGGCUCAACCUGGGAACUGCAUUUGAGACUGUAUGGCUAGAGUGUGUCAGAGGGGGGUAGAAUUCCACGUGUAGCAGUGAAAUGCGUAGAUAUGUGGAGGAAUACCGAUGGCGAAGGCAGCCCCCUGGGAUAACACUGACGCUCAUGCACGAAAGCGUGGGGAGCAAACA